CAGAGCCGCGAACGGGUGAGUAACACGUGGGUUACCUGCCCCGAUGACUGGGACAACCCGGGGAAACCCGGGCUAAUACCAGAUGUGCCCCUAGGGGGAAAGGAAGCUUCGGCCUCCGCAUCGGGAUGGGCCCGCGGCGCAUUAGCUUGUUGGUGGGGUAACGGCCCACCAAGGCGACGAUGCGUAGCUGGUCUGAGAGGACGAUCAGCCACACUGGGACUGAGACACGGCCCAG
rnacentral:rRNA from 1 species